GGGUACUCGAGUGGCGAACGGGUGAGUAACACGUGGGUGAUCUGCCCUGCACUUCGGGAUAAGCUUGGGAAACUGGGUCUAAUACCGGAUAGGACCGCACUUUAGUGUGUGUGGUGGAAAGUUUUUUCGGUGUAGGAUGAGCUCGCGGCCUAUCAGCUUGUUGGUGGGGUAAUGGCCUACCAAGGCGGCGACGGGUAGCCGGCCUGAGAGGGUGUACGGCCACAUUGGGACUGAGAUACGGCCCAGACUCC
rnacentral:rRNA from 1 species